GUUGUUGUUGUUUAGGUGGGUCUGGGGUAAUGUUGUUGUUGUUGUUGUUUAGGUGGGUCUGGGUCUGGGAUAUCUGGAGCUCCCUCAAAUCAACUACAAGCUGUCAGUGGAACACAAAGAGAAGGUCAAACUGGACAAACUGCCGGAUCUACGACUGCUCCAGACCCUGCUGGACACUAAAGGAGUGUACAUCCUGGACUGUCUGUCUGAUGUGUUUAUCUGGAUCGGGAGGAAGUCUCCUCGUCUGGUGAGAGCAGCCGCCCUGAAGCUAGGACAGGAAGUCUGCACUAUGCUGCACCGCCCCAAACACGCUACUGUUACCAGGAACCUGGAGGGGACAGAGUGUCAGGUAGGCAGAGACCCUCCUGGAGGUUUUAACUCCAACCCUAUUCCUGGAGAGAGACCCUCCUGGAGGUUUUAACUCCAACCCUGUUCCUGGAGAAACACCCUCCUGGAGGUUUUAACUCCAACCCUGUUCCUGGAGAGAUACCCUCCUGUAGGUUUUAACUCCAACCCUGUUCCUGGAGAGCUACCCUCCUGUAGGUUUUAACUCCAACCCUGUUCCUGGAGAGCUACCCUCCUGUAGGUUUUAACUCCAACCCUGUUCCUGGAGAGCUACCCUCCUGUAGGUUUUAACUCCAACCCUGUUCCUGGAGAGCUACCCUCCUGUAGGUUUUAACUCCAACCCUGUUCCUGGAGAGCUACCCUCCUGUAGGUUUUAACUCCAACCCUGUUCCUGGAGAGAGACCCUCCUGUAGGUUUUAACUCCAACCCUGUUCCUGGAGAGAGACCCUCCUGGAGGUUUUAACUCCAACCCUGUUCCUGGAGAGAGACCCUCCUGGAGGUUUUAACUCCAACCCUGUUCCUGGAGAGAGACCCUCCUGUAGGUUUUAACUCCAACCCUGUUCCUGGAGAGAGACCCUCCUGUAGGUUUUAACUCCAACCCUGUUCCUGGAGAGAGACCCUCCUGUAGGUUUUAACUCCAACCCUGUUCCUGGAGAGAUACCCUCCUGUAGGUUUUAACUCCAACCCUGUUCCUGGAGAGAGACCCUCCUGGAGGUUUUAAC